GACGAACGCUGGCGGCGUGCUUAACACAUGCAAGUCGAACGGAAAGGCCUCUUUCGGGGGGUACUCGAGUGGCGAACGGGUGAGUAACACGUAAGUAACUUGCCCUUGACUUUGGGUUAACUUCAGAAAACUGGGGCUAUUACCGGAUAGUCGCUCCUGCUACAUGGUGGGGGUUGGAAAGUUUCGGCGGUUGGGGGUGGCUUCGCGGCGUAUCCGCGUGUUGGGGGGGUAGUGGUUUACCAAGGCUUUGCCGGGUAGCCGGCCUGAGGGGGUGAGCGGCCGUACUGGGUCUGAGGGGAGGCCCAAGCUCCGAAGGGGGGCAGAAGUGGGGAAGAUUGCACAAUGGGUGGAGGCCUGAUGAAGAAAGGCUGCGUGCGGGAUGACGGUCUUCGGGGUGUAAAACGCUUUCGAUCAUGACGAAGCUUUGUGUGACGGUAGUGGGUAAAGAAGCACCGGCUAACUACGUG
rnacentral:rRNA from 1 species